AUGGUAGGAUAGAGGCCUACCAUGGUGGUAACGGGUAACGGGGUGUUAGGGCACGACACCGGAGAGGGAGCCUGAGAAACGGCUACCACAUCCAAGGAUGGCAGCAGGCGCGCAAAUUACCCAAUCCCGACACGGGGAGGUAGUGACAAUAAAUAACAAUACGGGGUUCUUUAGGAUCUCGUAAUUGGAAUGAGUACAAUUUAAAUCUCUUAACGAGGAACAAUUGGAGGGCAAGUCUGGUGCCAGCAGCCGCGGUAAUUCCAGCUCCAAUAGCGCAUAUUAAAGUUGUUGCAGUUAAAAAGCUCGUAGUUGAAUUUCGGGGUCAGUAGCUCGGUCGUGCCACUGGUAUGAACUGGUUUUACUGAUUCCUCCCUCUUGAAGAACUGUAAUGCCAUUAAUUUGGUGUUGCAGGGAAUCAGGACUGUUACUUUGAAAAAAUUAGAGUGUUUAAAGCAGGCUUUAGCUUGAAUACAUUAGCAUGGAAUAAUGAAAUAGGACGUUUGAUCCUAUUUUGUUGGUUUCUAGGAUUGACGUAAUGAUUAAUAGGGAUAGUUGGGGGCAUUAGUAUUCAAUUGUCAGAGGUGAAAUUCUUGGAUUUAUUGAAGACUAACUACUGCGAAAGCAUUUGCCAAGGAUGUUUUCAUUAAUCAAGAACGAAAGUUAGGGGAUCGAAGACGAUCAGAUACCGUCGUAGUCUUAACCAUAAACUAUGCCGACUAGGGAUCGGAUGAUGUUAAUUUUUUAAUGACUCAUUCGGCGCCUUACGGGAAACCAAAGUGUUUGGG
rnacentral:rRNA from 1 species